GCCUUAGGAGCUGAACAUCUU
rnacentral:tRNA from 1 species